GGGGGUGUUCCGGAUUCGACCCGGAGCCGUAGGGUAAGGCUGCAUGCCGGAGAUGAUGGUUGGCUCCGUAUCAAAUCCAUCACACCUAUAAAUGGCGAAGAACAAUACGCCAUGGCUGCCUAAUUAACGCAGUCACGCAGAAGGGCUGAUACCUGUUAGGCCUGGAAGCGAUCAUCUAGCAGGCAUAGUUCGCUCCGGGUUCCCGGGGGCGGGCCGUACUCAAACAGGGUUCUCGCGGCUCGGCAGCGCGCUCCAUCGCGUCCGUUCCGUUAAACCAAAUAUGCAGCUAAGCAUGUAGACGCUUUGUCUGAAACCUCCGGGCACGCGGGUUCGACUCCCGCCACCUCCACGG
rnacentral:tmRNA from 1 species